rnacentral:rRNA from 1 species
GACGAACGCUGGCGGCGUGCUUAACACAUGCAAGUCGAACGGACAGGCCCGGCUUUUGCGGGGUGGUCGAGUGGCGAACGGGUGAGUAACUCGUGAGUGAGCUGCCCUCGGCUUAGGGAUAAUUACAGGAAACUGGGGCUUAUACCGGAUAAGAGCUCCUGCAGCAUGGGGGGGGUUGGGAAGUUUCGGCGGUUGGGGAUGGAAUCGCGGCGUAUCAGCUUGUUGGAGGGGUAGUGGCUUACCAAGGCUUUGCCGGGUAGCCGGGCUGCGAGGGUAACCCGCCACAUUGGGACUGAAAUGCGGCACAGACUCCUACGGGAGGCAGGAGUGGAGAAUAUUGCACUAUGGGCGGAAGGCUGAUGCAGUAACGCCGCGUGGGGGAUGACGUGCAUCGCUUUGUAUUGCGCUGUCGUCUGUGAGGAAGAGUGAAUGACGGUAAUGGGUAAAGAAGCACCGGCUAACUACGUG